rnacentral:rRNA from 1 species
AGCGGCGGACGGGUGAGUAACACGUGGGUAACCUACCUAUAAGACUGGGAUAACUUCGGGAAACCGGAGCUAAUACCGGAUAAUAUUUCGAACCGCAUGGUUCGAUAGUGAAAGAUGGUUUUGCUAUCACUUAUAGAUGGACCCGCGCCGUAUUAGCUAGUUGGUAAGGUAACGGCUUACCAAGGCGACGAUACGUAGCCGACCUGAGAGGGUGAUCGGCCACACUGGAACUGAGACACGGUCCAGACUCCUACGGGAGGCAGCAGUAGGGAAUCUUCCGCAAUGGGCGAAAGCCUGACGGAGCAACGCCGCGUGAGUGAUGAAGGUCUUCGGAUCGUAAAACUCUGUUAUUAGGGAAGAACAUACGUGUAAGUAACUGUGCACGUCUUGACGGUACCUAAUCAGAAAGCCACGGCUAACUACGUGCCAGCAGCCGCGGUAAUACGUAGGUGGCAAGCGUUAUCCGGAAUUAUUGGGCGUAAAGCGCGCGUAGGCGGUUUUUUAAGUCUGAUGUGAAAGCCCACGGCUCAACCGUGGAGGGUCAUUGGAAACUGGAAAACUUGAGUGCAGAA